rnacentral:rRNA from 1 species
AUUGAACGCUGGCGGCAGGCCUAACACAUGCAAGGCGGGCGAGCGGCGGACGGGUGAGUAAUGUAUGGGGAUCUGCCUGAUGGCGGGGGAUAACUACUGGAAACGGUAGCUAAUACCGCACACCAUCAGAUGAACCCAUAUGGGAUUAGCUAGGAGGUAAGGUAACGGCUUACCUAGGCGACGAUCCCUAGCUGGUCUGAGAGGAUGAUCAGCCACGCUGGGACUGAGACACGGCCCAGCCUCCUACGGGAGGCAGCAGUGGGGAAUAUUGCACAAUGUGCGAAAGCCUGAUGCAGCCAUGCCGCGUGUAUGAAGAAGGCCUUCGGGUUGUAAAGUACUUUCAGUCGGGAGGCGUUACCGACAUAAGAAGCACCGGCUAACUCCGUGCCAGCAGCCGCGGUAAUUC